AGUGAACGCUGGGGGUAGGCCUAACACAUGCAAGUCGAACGGCAGCACAGUAAGAGCUUGCUCUUACGGGUGGCGAGUGGCGGACGGGUGAGGAAUACAUCGGAAUCUACUUUUUCGUGGGGGAUAACGUAGGGAAACUUACGCUAAUACCGCAUACGACCUACGGGUGAAAGCAGGGGAUCUUCGGAACUUGCGCGAUUGAAUGAGCCGAUGUCGGAUUAGCUAGUUGGCGGGGUAAAGGCCCACCAAGGCGACGAUCCGUAGCUGGUCUGAGAGGAUGAUCAGCCACACUGGAACUGAGACACGGUCCAGACUCCUACGGGAGGCAGCAGUGGGGAAUAUUGGACAAUGGGCGCAAGCCUGAUCCAGCCAUACCGCGUGGGUGAAGAAGGCCUUCGGGUUGUAAAGCCCUUUUGUUGGGAAAGAAAAGCAGCAGGUUAAUACCCCGCUGUUCUGACGGUACCCAAAGAAUAAGCACCGGCUAACUUCGUG
rnacentral:rRNA from 1 species